UGUAUCUUCCAGCGCUUAUAUAACGAACUAAAGGAUGUUUUGUUUCUUGUGUCGUGACAAUUUACUUUUCUAUUUUCCUGUUUUCAAGUUUCUGAAGAGUUUUAUCCUUUAUCACGUUUCGGAUUCAAAAUUUCCGCCCGCUUCUAUGGAAAGGCUGCAAAACAACUUUUGCAAAACAGCAAAGAGCUCGUAGCUUUGCCACUGCUUCAAAAGAUACCAUUACCGUAGCUGGAUCAAUAAAGCGUAGAACUAAUUUACAGCUUGCACCUGUUUGAAAAGAAAUAUUUCAAGAAAAAACUUCUCAUAAUAAAAAGGUCUGAUCGGAAGUUCAAUUACAUGAUUUAAUGUAAUUUUUGCGUGACAUUUCAUGAAUUCUGAAUUUAAGCUGGGACUUGCCCAUCAUCCAACACCCAGGGUGCUACCACAUUCCUUAUCAGAUGUUCAUAUAUAAUGCUUCUCUAAGUUACUGUCUUCGUGACACAGGAGGUUAUUGACUGCAACGAUAAACCUAUACAGGAAAGAAGGUGUCCGGUUGCUUUUUCAAUGUCGGAAUCAUUUUAUAACUUCCUUAGUCGUGACUUUAAGUUUGAAAGUUUCAUUCGCUAGCCUCGGAUGAACCUAUGAUUGGUAAACAGUCACACCCCGUAGACACACAUCCAAGUUACUAUCCAAUCAAAAUGCUUCUUAUGCAACUGAUGCCACAUAAGAAGUGAUAUAGUAGGGCUGGGGAAGAUGGAAACCUUUUCGUUCUAUUUUCUCCUACUAUUUGGUAGUAAACAAAGAGCAUUCUAAGAAUUAUAAAACUGUAUCCUCACAACUUUCAUAGACCGUUGUUAAUUGUAUAAAACACGACCAGGAUGUUUGGAAUUUUGGAUACUAUGUGCUAAAGGUGUCUCUUACCCACUAUACUAUAUGAUGCCUUUCAGGGAAUAUUCUACACAUUUUCAGCUUUUGUAAUACUUAAAUUUUUGAAAAUGUAAAACAUUUUAAAGGUAUUUAUUCAAUUUUAGUAAUAUUUGAUUUUCUAAUUUUAUUUUCAG